ACAUCCAGAGAACUUAGCAGAGAUUGCUUUGGUGCCUUCGGGAACUCUGAGACAGGUGCUGCAUGGCUGUCGUCAGCUCGUGUUGUGAAAUGUUGGGUUAAGUCCCGNAACGAGCGCAACCCUUAUCCUUUGUUGCCAGCGGUUCGGCCGGGAACUCAAAGGAGACUGCCGGUGAUAAACCGGAGGAAGGUGGGGAUGACGUCAAGUCAUCAUGGCCCUUACGGCCAGGGCUACACACGUGCUACAAUGGCGCAUACAAAGAGAAGCGACCUCGCGAGAGCAGGCGGACCUCAUAAAGUGCGUCGUAGUCCGGAUUGGAGUCUGCAACUCGACUCCAUGAAGUCGGAAUCGCUAGUAAUCGUAGAUCAGAAUGCUACGGUGAAUACGUUCCCGGGCCUUGUACACACCGCCCGUCACACCAUGGGAGUGGGUUGCAAAAGAAGUAGGUAGCUUAACCUUCGGGAGGGCGCUUACCACUUUGUGAUUCAUGACUGGGGUGAAGUCGUAACAAGGUAGGCGUAGUGCU
rnacentral:rRNA from 1 species